GACAGAGGGGGCAAGCGUUGCUCGGAAUCACUGGGCGUAAAGGGCGCGUAGGCGGGAUGGCAAGUCAGUCGUGAAAUCUCUCGGCUCAACCGAGAAACGUCGGCUGAUACUGCCGUUCUUGAGGGAUGCAGAGGAGACUGGAAUUCCCGGUGUAGCGGUGAAAUGUGUAGAGAUUAGGAAGAACACCAGUGGCGAAGGCGACUUACUGGACUGUAACUGACGCUGAGGCAUGAAAGCGUGGGGAGCAAACAGG
rnacentral:rRNA from 1 species